UGCAAGUCGAGCGGUAACAGGGAAAGUGCCUUGCACUUUUGCUGACGAGCGGCGGACGGGUGAGUCAUGUCUGGGCGAUCUGCCCGAGGGCGGGGGAUAACCACUGGGAACGGUGGCUAAUACCGCAUAAUGUCGCAAGACCAAAGUGGGGGACCUGAAAGGGCCUCACGCCCGCUGAUGAACCCAGAUGGGAUUAGCUGGUAGGUGGGGUAAUGGCUCACCUAGGCGACGAUCCCUAGCUGGUCUGAGAGGAUGACCAGCCACACUGGGACUGAGACACGGCCCAGACUCAUACGGGAGGCAGCAGUGGGGAAUAUUGCACAAUGGGCGCAAGCCUGAUGCAGCCAUGCCGCGUGUAUGAAGAAGGCCUUCGGGUUGUAAAGUACUUUCAGCGGGGAGGAAGGGGUUGAUUUGAACAGAGUCAAUUCUUGACGUUACCCGCAGAAGAAGCACCGGCUAACUCCGUGCCAGCAGCCGCGGUAAUACGGAGGGUGCAAGCGUUAAUCGGAAUGACUGGGCGUAAAGAGCACGCGGGCGGUCAAUUAAGUUGGAUGUGAAAAUCCCCGGGCUUAACCUGGGAACGGCAUCCAAGACUGGUUGGCUAGAGUCUCGUAGA
rnacentral:rRNA from 1 species